UCUCACUCUCUUUCUUCGUCGCCGCUACAACUCGCCGGUCUUCUGAGUUCCGCCGCAACAACUCGCCACGAGUACUAUUAGCAACAACAGUCCGAAUUUCUUCAACUGGUGGAAGCCGAACAAAUCACAGAAAUUCAAUCGAGAAAUUUCGUCUUCGUCUUCGUUGGUCUUCUACUCUUCUUCGUCUUCUUCAACAUUCAGCUUAAUAUGGCUGAUGAAGACUUCAAGGAGCAGAUUGAGCUCUCAUCAGAGGCAGAACUUGUGGUCUUGUGGUUGAGUUGUGGUCUUGUGAACUUGUGAACUUGUGGUUGUUUAACUCUAAAACAUUAAGGAUUUGGUUUGUAAUAUUUGGUUUGUAAUAUUUUUAAGUAUGAACUUGGUACUUAGUAGUUAGUAUUAUAUAUGUUAUUGCCAAGUAUGAACUUGGUUGGCUAAGUUUAUUGAAAUUUCAUUGAAUUA